AAAUCCUGCUCAGAUUGAACGCUGGCGGCAUGCCUUACACAUGCAAGUCGAACGGCAGCACGGGGGCAACCCUGGUGGCGAGUGGCGAACGGGUGAGUAAUACAUCGGAACGUGUCCUGUAGUGGGGGAUAGCCCGGCGAAAGCCGGAUUAAUACCGCAUACGCUCUACGGAGGAAAGGGGGGGAUCUUAGGACCUCCCGCUACAGGGGCGGCCGAUGGCAGAUUAGCUAGUUGGUGGGGUAAAGGCCUACCAAGGCGACGAUCUGUAGCUGGUCUGAGAGGACGACCAGCCACACUGGGACUGAGACACGGCCCAGACUCCUACGGGAGGCAGCAGUGGGGAAUUUUGGACAAUGGGGGAAACCCUGAUCCAGCAAUGCCGCGUGUGUGAAGAAGGCCUUCGGGUUGUAAAGCACUUUUGUCCGGAAAGAAAACCUCUGGGUUAAUACCCCGGGGGGAUGACGGUACCGGAAGAAUAAGCACCGGCUAACUACGUGCCAGCAGCCGCGGUAAUACGUAGGGUGCAAGCGUUAAUCGGAAUUACUGGGCGUAAAGCGUGCGCAGGCGGUCCGCUAAGACAGAUGUGAAAUCCCCGGGCUUAACCUGGGAACUGCAUUUGUGACUGGCGGGCUAGAGUAUGGCAGAGGGGGGUAGAAUUCCACGUGUAGCAGUGAAAUGCGUAGAGAUGUGGAGGAAUACCGAUGGCGAAGGCAGCCCCCUGGGCCAAUACUGACGCUCAUGCACGAAAGCGUGGGGAGCAAACAGGAUUAGAUACCCUGGUAGUCCACGCCCUAAACGAUGUCAACUAGUUGUCGGGUCUUCAUUGACUUGGUAACGUAGCUAACGCGUGAAGUGACC
rnacentral:rRNA from 1 species